UACGUAGGGCGCAAGCGUUGUCCGGAAUUAUUGGGCGUAAAGAGCUCGUAGGCGGUCUGUCGCGUCCGCUGUGAAAACCCGGGGCUUAACCCUGGGCUGGCAGUGGAUACGGACAGACUAGAGGUAGGUAGGGGAGAAUGGAAUUCCCGGUGUAGCGGUGAAAUGCGCAGAUAUCGGGAGGAACACCGGUGGCGAAGGCGGUUCUCUGGGCCUUGCCUGACGCUGAGGAGCGAAAGCGUGGGGAGCGAACAGG
rnacentral:rRNA from 1 species